rnacentral:rRNA from 1 species
CUGAAAUUCGCCUUCAUGAAGCCGGAAUUGCUAGUAAUGGCAGGUCAGCAUACUGCCGUGAAUACGUUCCCGGGCCUUGUACACACCGCCCGUCACACCAUGAGAGUUGGGGAUACCCGAAGCCUGUGAGCUAACUUAACGGAGGCAGCAGUCGAAGGUAGAAUCAAUGAUUGGGGUGAAGUCGUAACAAGGUAAC